rnacentral:rRNA from 1 species
CGCGUAGGCGGAUAGUUUAGUCAGAGGUAAAAGCCCAGGGCUCAACCUUGGAACUGCCUUUGAUACUGACUAUCUUGAGUACGGGAGAGGUGUGUGGAACUCCGAGUGUAGAGGUGAAAUUCGUAGAUAUUCGGAAGAACACCAGUGGCGAAGGCGACACACUGGCCCGUUACUGACGCUGAGGCGCGAAAGCGUGGGGAGCAAACA